CCUACGGGAGGCAGCAGUGGGGAAUAUUGCACAAUGGGGGAAACCCUGAUGCAGCAACGCCGCGGGAGUGAAGAAGUAUUUCGGUAUGUAAAGCUCUAUCAGCAGGGAAGAAGAAAGACGGUACCUGACUAAGAAGCCCAGGCUAAAUACGGGCCAGCAGCCGCGGUAAUACGUGUGGGGCAAGCGUUGUCCGGAUUUAAGGGGUGUAAAGGGUGCGUAGACGGCUGUGCAAGUCAGAAGUGAAAGCCCGUGGCUCAACCGCGGAACUGCGUUGGAAACUGUAUAGCUUGAGUACUGGAGAGGCAGGCGGAAUUCCUAGUGUAGCGGUGAAAUGCGUAGAUAUUAGGAGGAACACCAGUGGCGAAGGCGGCCUGCUGGACAGAAACUGACGUUGAGGCUCGAAAGCGUGGGGAGCAAACAGGAUUAGAUACCCCAGUAGUC
rnacentral:rRNA from 1 species